rnacentral:rRNA from 1 species
GGAUCUCUUGGUUCUGGCAUCGAUGAAGAACGCAGCGAAAUGCGAUAAGUAGUGUGAAUUGCAGAAUUCAGUGAAUCAUCGAAUCUUUGAACGCACAUUGCGCCCCUUGGUAUUCCAUGGGGCAUGCCUGUUCGAGCGUCAUUUGUACCCUCAAGCUAUGCUUGGUGUUGGGCGUUGUUUGCGUGUGCAGACUCGCUCCAAAUGCAUUGGCAGUCAGCAAUGGGGUUGUUGGAGCGCAGCACAUUUUGCGUUCCCAGCCCCGGGGUGCCGGCGUCCACAAAGCAGCUUAUUUUUAACGUUUGACCUCGGAUCAGGUAGGGAUACCCGCUGAACUUAAGCAUAUCAAUAAGCGGAGGA